CUCCUAAUGCAGCCACCGUAAGGUGAUGGUCACAAGCCCAUGAAAUGCAGAGUGGGAG
ncrna:unclassified sequences type-P1 twister ribozyme